GUUGGGUUGAAGAAAAACUAGCGAGUGCGGCGGGCAUGGCGUCGGCGAAUCAGAACAAAGCUUUAACGAAUACUCGUUUCUCCGACCUCGAACCACGGCUUGCUGAGCCAGUUUUGGAAGCCCUAACCAACUCCGGCUUCGAGUUCUGUACUCCUGUUCAGGCCGCCACCAUACCCUUACUCUGCAGCUACAAGGAUGUCACCGUUGACGCCGCCACUGGCUCUGGUAAAACCCUAGCCUUCGUUUUACCUGUGGUUGAGAUCAUCCGUCGAUCCUCUUCUAAUCCCAAACCUCACAAGGUAAUGGGUAUAAUUAUAUCACCAACCAGGGAGUUGUCGUCACAAAUAUUUCAUGUUGCUCAGCCAUUCAUUUCCACAUUAGCAAAUGUUAGGCCUAUGCUUCUUGUUGGAGGAUUAGAAGUAAAGGCAGAUAUCAAAAAGAUAGAGGAGGAAGGAGCAAAUUUGUUGAUUGGGACACCUGGGAGGCUAUAUGACAUAAUGGAGCGCCUGGAUAUACUGGACUUUCGGGAUCUUGAGAUCCUGAUAUUAGACGAGGCUGAUAGGCUAUUAGGCAUGGGAUUCGAGAAGCAGCUAAAUUCAAUCAUUUCUCGUUUACCUAAGCUUCGUAGAACGGGUCUCUUCUCUGCUACUCAAACUGAAGCAGUUGAAGAACUAUCAAAGGCAGGAUUGCGAAAUCCUGUCAGGGUUGAAGUUCGGGCAGAAGCAAAACAGUUGAGCGGAUCUGCAUCUGGGAAUUCGACCUCGUCAAAAACACCUUCUGGCCUUCAUAUUGAGUAUUUGGAAUGUGAAGCGGACAAGAAAUCAUCGCAGCUUGUACACCUCAUAACAAAGAACAAGUCAAAAAAAAUUAUAGUUUAUUUCAUGACUUGUGCUUGUGUUGAUUAUUGGGGAACUGUUCUUCCACGUCUCUCUUGUCUGAAAAGUUUUUCAUUGAUCUCUCUUCAUGGAAGGAUGAAGCAGAGUGCAAGGGAGAAAGCACUAGCAUCAUUUACAUCUCUUUCCAGUGGUGUUCUUUUAUGCACAGAUGUAGCAGCUCGUGGACUUGAUAUUGCAGGUGUUGAUUAUAUAAUACAGUAUGACCUUCCUCAGGAUGAUAAAAUGUUCAUACACAGAGUAGGCCGAACAGCUAGGCUGGGCCGACAAGGUAGUGCUGUUGUUUUCCUAUUACCAAAGGAGGAAGCAUAUGUGGAGUUCUUGCGUAUAAAAGACGUUUUCUUAGAAGAGGGAGAAUGUGCCUCUGAUGCUCCUGAUAUUAUAGAUGAAAUACGAUCAGCAGCAAAGAAAGAUCGUGAUGUAAUGGAGAAAGGACUCAGAGCCUUUGUAUCAUACAUCCGUGCAUAUAAAGAGCACCACUGCUCUUACAUCUUAAGGUGGAAGGAGCUUGAGAUCGGGAAGCUGGGCAUGGGAUAUGGUCUUCUGCAGCUUCCUUCUGUGCCUGAUGUGAAACAUCAUUCUCUUUCUACAAAGGGAUUCACUGCUGUUGAAGAUAUCAACCUGGACAACAUCAAGUUUAAGGACAAGUCGAGAGAGAAGCAAAGAAAGAAAAAUUUACAAGUGAAAAAAGCUGCAAUGGCACAACAACAAGAACAGAAGACACAGAGACUUAAAAAAGAAGCAAACUCUACAGCAAGUGCCUUGAGAAAGAGAACUGCCAAACAAAGACGUGCUACACAGUUGGUUGAAGAUGAAGAUGAGAUCACACGGGAGUACCGGUUAUUGAAAAAGCUAAAAAAGGGAGCUAUCGAUGAGAAUGAGUUUGCAAAAUUGACUGGCACAGAAGACUUGCUUUCUGACAUAUGAUUUAAACAUCUAGGCACAAAUUCUGCUGGUCUAAUGCAUUCAUAUGUGGUGGUGAUUGCAGAUGUUACACUAGUUACCAAGCAAAGAAAGAUAAGUAUAUGUCUGGUCUGGUCACCCAGAAACUGAAUUUCAUCAAGCAUCCACCACCUUACAUUGGAUUGCAGAUCCAUGGAUGGGCAGCCAAAUUUUGUACUACUUUUGUAAUUCAUAUAUCAUGAUACACUUAAUUUUAUCAAUUACUUAGCUG
rnacentral:misc_RNA from 1 species